GCAACCUAGAGAGAUAAAGAAACGUAGCUUGAGUAUCAGCCUUUCUUUUCUUUAUCAAUUCCUAUAUUUUGCAACCUAGAGAGAUAAAGAAACGUAGCUUAAGGAAAGUAUCAGCCUUUCUUUUCUUUAACAGCAGAUAUUGAGAUUUUGCCAAAAAAAAAAAAAGAAAUCCAUUCAUUUUGGUUAUUCCCUUCCUCUAUUUUGCGACCUAAAGAGGGAAGUGCCUACCUUUUAUAUGGGUGCAUAUUGAAAUUUUGUAAAAAAAAAAAAAAACUAUUUAUUUUGGUUAUCCUCUUCCUAUAUAUUUUGCAAUGCAAAGAAACGUAGCCUGGGGAAAUGGUAGCCUUUUCUUUGAGGGUUAUUGACCCAUUUCAAAUGGAUAGAGAGAGAGAGACGCGUUUCAGAUGGAGAGAGAGACCAUUCAGCUCGGUGCCAUCAGCAAAGUAUUUGUGGGUCAUUUCGGGCUGAAGAAUGGCUACCUCAAGGAGAUGAGGAGGGGAAGGUAGUAAGUGGGGAGGAGGGGGGUUUUGGAGAGGAGGCUGUGAUGGAGGUGAUGAAGGGGCUCGAGGCCGAGAUAACCGGAAGUGGCUCUUCUUCCUCUUCCUGUGACGCUUACACCAGUGGAAAUCAUGAGACGUUCUGCCCGUCCUUCUCUGACUCAAAGACCACAGUCAUGGCCAGCAUCGACAUGGCCGGGGUGGUUUUUAAGAUGCCGAGUUCCAGCGAAACCGAGCACUCAGGCAGCCAGAUCCCCGCAGCAACCGAGCCGAGCUGCUCCUCAAUUGAAGAUGCAGAAGAUUCAUCGUGGUGGUUGGGGAUGAAGAGGGUAGGGAAUUUCUCUUUGAUGACUCUAUUUGCCUCAAAGGAACUCAGGAACUUCUUUUCUGUAUCUCUUUUUCUCUUCCUGUUUCUUCUAAGCCCAUUGUCCUUUCAUUACCUGCACCUGUUUUUCACACUUUCUGUUGGAGAUGGCUUUGUCCAAUUCCACUCUAUAUCUUUUGCCAAGGUUUCUCUCUCUAAAGCUGCAAAUGGGUUUUUUCCCUCUAAAAGCUCAAAUUGUGUUUCUUCCCUCUAAAGCUGAAAAUUGUGUUUCCUCUAAUGUAGUUUCUAAUGUACGGAUUUUUAUUGAAAAGGCAUACCGAUUUUUAGGGUAAUUUACUGAAAUUUAGUAACUUCAGUACAACAAAAUCUAAGUUUUAGUACUUUUAUUUGGAAAAUCAGAAUUUAAAAAAACCCCAAUAGCAUUUUUUACCUUCAAUUUAACGGUUUUUUUUUUUUUUUUCCAAAACAAACUUUUUAUGCAAAUACCUUCAAAAAAUAAAAAUUUAUUUUGUUAAACAGAAAUGCCCUUCCCAUACACAACAAUCAUUUUGCUGACUUUUGGACCAAUAACACAUUGUUGGAGUGCACCAUCACAUUGUUAGAGAGCAUAAGUGCCGAAUUACCCUAAGACAACUAUCGAAUUGAAAUUGAGUACUACGGGAUCAUGCUUUGCAUAAUACCGGAGCUUUGAAAUCCAAUAACAUAUACUGUCAGACCACCCUAUGCAACUGUUAGACUACAGUACAUAGUGUCGGAGCCUUGAAAUCGAGUAACAGUUAUGGUCGGAGUGUAAUUUGCAAGCCAACGUUAGGUUGCUUUACACAUUGUUGAAGCACUACUACCGGAUUGUCUGACUUAUAUUGUAUCGGAGCCUUUAUUUUAGUGGGAUAGAGGAAUGAACAAGGUAAGGUAAAAGUAAGGAAUGGUAGUUUAAGUAUUUUUUUAUUACGAUAAGGUAAAGGAAGGAAGGGUAAUUUAAGUAUUUUUUUAUUUUUUAUUUGGUUGGGGUAUUUUGCUUACAAAAAUAUAUUUUGGAAAAAAAAGUGAGAGAGAAAAUUAGGCCGGGAUAAGGUAAAGGAAGGAAGGGUAAUUUAAGUAUUUUUUUAUUUUUUAUUUGGUUGGGGUAUGUUGCUUACAAAAAUGUAUUUUGGAAAAAAAAGUGAGAGAAAAAAUUAAGCCGGGUAAAUUGUAUGGAAAGUGUACUCUUUGUUAUUUAUAUUUUUUUUAUUUUUGGAAUUUUUCCUUAAUUUAAACUUUAAUUUUACUGAAAACUCGGUAUAUUGAUUCUUAGGAAUGUUUAACGUCAGAUUCAGCGUCUCGCUCGGCCCCUGGCAAAGUGGCCUUCUUAAAAUCAAAACAAACUAAAUCAAGGUUUUAUCUCAGUAGGUUGUUCUACUGUCUUCCCUCUCUAGACUCUGGACUUCUUACACUUUGUCUCUCUACUGGCAUUUCUUCUCUCUUUACUGAUUUCUCUAUCCACUAUUCUGUCGUUCUCUCUUCCCUUCUCUCUCUAUUCUCGUCUCUACCGCACCUUUUCUUUCCCUCUCUACACUUUUUCACUCACUCAACUAAUCUCUCCCUACCGCUCUUUCACACUCUCUCUAUUGUUUUCUCACUCUGCCCACUGUGUUCUCUCACUACCAAUUGUUUUCUCUCUCUAACUGCUGUUCUCUCACUCUAGUAGCUGUUUUCUCUCACUAGCCACUGUUUUAUCUCAUUAACUGCUGUUUUCUCUCUCUAGCUAUUGUUUUCGCACUAUACCCUCUUCACUUGUAUGCUCUUUUUUUUUUCUCUCCUUCCUUAUCUUAUUGUAAUAGCAGCCUGGUUAGGGGCAUGUGCUUAUAUUCAUUAAAAUUUUGUUUAACUAUUGAAAAGGAAAAUUCUAUGCUGAUGAACUUUUAUUGUUUGUCGAAGAAAUGUGAGAAUACCAUGCA